GCCUAUGGCCAUACCAGUCUGAAAGUGCCUGAUCUCGUCAGAUCUCAGAAGUCAUGCAGACUUGGGCCUGCUUAGUACUUGUAUGGAAGACUAACUAGGAACCUCAGGUGCCGUAAGAU
rnacentral:rRNA from 1 species